UACAGAGGUCCCAAGCGUUGUUCGGAUUCACUGGGCGUAAAGGGUGCGUAGGUGGUCGGGUAAGUCUGAUGUGAAAUCCCCGGGCUUAACCUGGGAAUGGCAUCUGGGACUGCAAGGCUCGAGUGCGGCAGAGGAGACUGGAAUUCCUGGUGUAGCAGUGAAAUGCGUAGAUAUUGGGAGGAACACCGGUGGCGAAGGCGGCUACCUGGACCGGUUCUGACGCUGAUGCGCGAAAGCGUGGGUAGCAAACAGG
rnacentral:rRNA from 1 species